AUGGUAGUUGUUGCGGUGGUGGAAGGGACUGCGACGGCGCCGCAACCCGUAGGACGGGGUUCAGCGGCGAUGGAGGGCCCGCGACGGCGGCCCGACGGCGAGGCGGCUCCGACGUACGCAAAGGAUUCUCGGUUGUUCACUGUUGAGGUGAUCCAUGGAGGAUUUUUCUUUGGCAGUGGUCAGAAUAGGUGCUAUUUGGAUGGCAAAAAGGUUAGCUAUGAUUACUGUCAGGUGGAGAGUGCAUAUUACAAAUUGUUUGAAGAAUUAGUUGAGCACUUGGGUUAUGAAAAGAGAGGUAGAAUCGAUAUGUAUUGGUUGCCCCCUGGUUGUCAGCUAAAUGAAGGUGGUGCUAGGCUUUUGUCCAAUGAUGUUGACGUAGAUUGUAUGUAUCUAACGCUUAAUCGAGGGCACCAAUUUCAAAUGAUAUACCUCGAUCAUUUGGACAGCCAUAUUUCUGGAGGAGGAGCUGGAUGGGAUGAUGUUGUGGCUAAUCCAGUAACACAAAUGCCAGUUGUUUUCAGUCCAAUGAAGAAGUCAAGCAAUGCAAAUGAUAACAGAGAUGUGGAAGAAAGCAACACAUCUUGUAGUGUUGUGGAUGAAAGUCAUGAAAUUCAGAGUCAUGACCAACUCUUUGACAGACUGAGACCAAGAAAACAAAAUAUAGAAGAGCAGGAAGAACAGUAUGCAGAUUCAGAUACUUCUGACAGUGAUUAUAUUCCUGAAAUUAUUGACAGUGACUAUGACUUGGAGGAUGGGGAUGAGGAUUUGUUGCAGGAGCAGCUACACCCUCUGCAAGAUAGGAAAGGGAAGAAGGUGGUGGAAGAGUGCAACUCUGAAGAUGAGGAAUUGGAUGCUCCAGAUUCAGAUCAAGAUGAAAUGAAAUUCAAUUUCAAAUCAUUUACAGCUGCAGAUAUGCAUGAGCCCAAGUUCCAUGCAGGCCAAUUGUUCUCUUCAGUCGAGCUCUUGAGGAAAGCAGUUAGAGAGUACAGUUGCAAGGAGAGAGUGAACAUCACAUUCCCAAAGAAUGAUAAAACAAGGCUUGGUGCAAAGUGUGAGAAAGGAUGCCCAUGGUAUCUUUAUGCAUCUUGGGAUAAUAGGACAAAUUCAAUAAUGGUGAAGACAUUCAAUGGUGAGCAUACUUGUGAGAAGAAGUGGCAAGUUACAGCCUUUACAGCUAGGUAUAUUGCUCACAAAUUUGUCGACAAGAUUAGGGCAUGUGAGAGGAUUUCAUUGAAGGCCUUAGCAGGUUUUGUCCAAGAAGAUUGGAAUAUGACAAUUAAAAGGGGCAAGUUAGGGAGAGCUAGGAAGAUUGCAUAUGAUAUUAUAUAUGGUGAUGAGAUUGCACAAUACAACUUGUUGUGGGACUAUGCAAAUGAGCUGAGGAGAUCUAAUCCUAGUAGCACUUUCUUUGUUGAACUUUCAAACGAGGGGCAAUUUCAAAAAUGUUACUUCUCAUUUGAUGCAUGCAAAAGGGGCUUCUUAUCUGCUUGUAGGCCUAUUAUUUUCCUCGAUGGCUGUCACUUGAAGACACAAUAUGGAGGUGUGCUUUUAAGUGCUGUAGGAAUGGAUCCUAAUGAUUGCAUAAUUCCUGUGGCUCAUGAAGUAGUGCAAAGUGAAGAUACAAAAGCCUGGAGAUGGUUCUUGACUGCAUUGAAGCAAGAUCUUGGCAUACAUAACACAGAUCUCUGGACCAUCAUGUCUGACAAGCAAAAAGGUUUACUGAAAGCAGUGAAGGAAUUGUUCCCACUUUCACCACACAGAUUUUGUGUGAGGCAUCUAUGGCAGAAUUUCAACAAGAAUUUCAAGGGAGAGGCCUUAAAGAACCAGCUAUGGAAAUGUGCUAGAAGUACUACAGAGGGAAGGUUUAGGGAAAAUAUGAACCAAAUGUUAGUUCUCAGCAAAGAGGCCCAUGACUGGCUGGAUGAGUUGGAUCCUAAAACAUGGGUCAGGGCUUAUCAAAAUGAUUUCCCAAAGUGUGAUGUGCUGCUCAAUAACAAUUGUGAGGUAUUCAACAGGUACAUCCUGGAGGCUAGGGAGAUGCCAAUUAUAAGCAUGUGCCAGAGGAUCAAGGGCCAAAACAUGGGAAGGAAUUAUGGAAAACAACAAGAGGUCUUGAAGUGGCAUGGUACUAUUUGUCCAAAGAUAAGAAAGAAAUUGGAUAAGAAUAUUGAAUUUGCAAGAACUUGUCAUGCCGCACCAGCUGGAAAAGGGUUGUUUGUAGUCAAUGAUAGAGGUAUGGACUUCAGUGUGGACACAAGAAUGGAGAAGUGUAGCUGCAAAAGAUGGGAUUUGUCAGGUAUCCCAUGUUCUCAUGGAGUCUCUGCUCUUAGAUAUGACAAAAUACCACCAGAAUCAAGGGUGAACUCUUGUUACUCUAUUGAGACUUAUUGCAAGGUAUAUGAGCACAUUAUCAUGCCAUGUAAUGAUGUGAGUGAGUGGGCUAUGAUGAAUGGCAGAAAAAUCAUACCACCACCACUUCAGAAAAAGAAAGGAAGAAGGGCAAGGAAUAGGAGACAACAACCAGAAGAGAAGCAGGGAAAGAGAGGUGUGAAGAUCAAUAAGGCAGGCGCAGUCAUCCAUUGUGGAUAUUGUGGAGGUGCUGGUCAUAACAUAAAUGGUUGCUUGGACUGGAAGUUAGGGUUGAAGCCUAAGAAAAAAACAAGAAGCCAUAGAGUUAGAGCUGAGCCAGAUGUGUCAUCUUCAGAUGAAGAAACAAUAGGCCUUACUCAGGAAUUUAAUCUACAGACAGCUGGUGUUCUUAACCAUGACCAACCUUUGUAUCAUUCAGAGAUGCUAGCUACUUUAACACAGGAAAGAGAAUCAAGGCAGAGAGAGGAAGUUGUGCAUGGCCCACUACCUGAGAAUGCUUUCAUACAGCAGCAAGCCCUCUCACAGCCUCCAAUUCAACCUACAACAGCAACAAAAACUGGUGAUGUGCACAGGAAGAGAGAGGUUGUUGCAUUUGCCAGACUUAGAGCAGCAGCUGAGAGAAGAGAGAUAGCCGAUCAGGCCAAGUUUGAUGCAGCCAUUGCAAAAUUAAAAGAAGAAGAGGACAAAAUCAAGUUGUCUGCUCAAAAGAAGAAAGAUGACCAACUAGCAAAGAAACAUGCUGCAGAGGAGAAAAAGAAGGCUGCACUUGAAGAAAAAAGAAUUGCUGCAGAUGAGAGGAAGAAAGCUAGUGAGGAAAAUAAAAAAAAGGCCCUAGAGGAUAAACUGGCCAUGGCAGACAAAAGGAGAGAAGCUAUGGAGAAAAGGAAAAAAGAAGCAGAAGAGGCAAAAAGAAUUAAGGCAAAAGAAAGACAAAGAAUUGCUGAUGACAAAAAAAGAGUUUGCAAGACUAAAUUUGAUGCAGAAGAGGCAUUGUUUCUUAUAAAUCAAGCAGAUGAGAUUGAUAGGCAGCAAUCAUUUCUGCAAACACAGGAGACAGCAAGGCAAAGAGCUUGGGAGCAGCAGACUGUCCAGCAGGAAGCUACAAGAGUGCAGGCAGCUUUGCAGGAUGCAGAUAAGACGAAGGCACAGCAAGACAGAGAAGCAAUGGUGGAGGAGCAGAGGAUGAAUGCAUGUCAGUCCAAAACUACAACAAUGAAGAGAACUGGAGCAAGCUCUAGUCAAAACAGGAGAACAUUUAAAAAACCAAGAAAAGUUAGCAUGUUUGAUGAACUUAGGGGUGGUUGA
rnacentral:rRNA from 1 species